UCUUCCAUUCAUGACAGCCUGUGAAGC
rnacentral:piRNA from 1 species